AGCUAAAAACCUAUAAUCUCUACCACAAAAUUAACACCAAAGGAACUCAAUGUUUGCUGAUAACCAAAGUUGGAACACCCCACCACCACUCUGCGAUAAUUAUAAAAUGUAAUUUAAAAAAAAAAAUGUAAAAAAAAAAACACACCACAUCAAUGUGUUUCUGGCCCCAAAGUGUUACUCUCCUCCGUUUCCAUUUGGUAGCAAACAACAAAAGGGAGUGAAAAACAUAGUGCGAAUUGCAUGCGUGAUGCACAUAAACAAUAACAAAAAGUAGUAAAGGGAAAGGGAAGGGGAAGCACCACCACUCACACAGCCACAAACAAAAACACUGAAAGAAAACAAAAGGCCAUAUAGCGAUAGCAAAAGCUUCUUAAAACGUUAAGAAAAGCCUUUUCGCUCGCUUUGUUUUCCGGGCUGCAUUGUUAUUGUAAUUGUUGUUGCAGGCGAACGAAGUUGAGAAAAUGUGUAGGAAAAUCCACACGGAAAAAUAUUGUGUGCAAAGGUUUUAAAUUUACAAAAAAGAAAUGCAGAAAGAAAAAAUUGAAUUUAAAAAGAAUACUAAAGGAAGUAGAAAAGCUAAAAAUUGAUAAACCGUUUCGGGAAUAACCCAAAAACGUAAAAAUAAUAUAAAGACUUCCUAUACACUUUGAUAUAAACAGAAUAAUAUCAUAUUUUUCCUGUGAAAUUCUUGAAUUAAAACAAGGGGAAGUGGAAAAACCCGACGUGUUGAGUGCCACAAUUUUCAUCUUUCACCGCAGGCUGUUUAAAAAAAAAACACAACAAAAUGGAUUUUCCUUACUUCUACACGAAAGACUUCCCUAUUCCUGUUACCUACACUUGCACCUGCACAAUAUACCCACUGAAACUCUCAAAUUAACAGGUAGUAAAAUAUCAAGAUGAAGGCUUCAAAAGCUCAAGAAAGCCGGAACGCUCCAGAAUGGUCUAGAGCCUGCACAAAUAUGCAAUUGUUUGUGCCAAACAAUUUGCCAAACAGAACAAAUCCGACAGCAAACAUGAAACGCACAAAUAAGUGGGGCACUUGGAAAAAAUUACUUAAUUUUUAACAUUCAAAAAAAGUUACUUUUUAGGGUAAGAAUUAACUAAAAUGUAAACUAAAUCACAAGGAAAUUUUCUUUUAUAAUUUGUUUUUAAAAAUUCCUCAAACUUUAUGUAAAUGUUGGUAGGUAAUAAAGCUUUUUGGCUAUCUAAAGCCUUGAACAUUCAAAAACUUAAGAAUAAAGAAUUUAAAAAAGUGAAAAGUAA